UCUCCGUAGGUGAACCUGCGGAGGGAUCAUUACCGAGUGAGCGCUCCGGCGCGACCUCCAACCCCAUGUUUUCCGACUCUGUUGCCUCGGGGGCGACCCGGCCUUCGGGCGUCGGGGCCCCCGGUGGACCACCCAACUCUGCAUCGUUGCGUCUGAGUCGAAAUAUAAAUCAAUCAAAACUUUCAACAACGGAUCUCUUGGUUCUGGCAUCGAUGAAGAACGCAGC
rnacentral:misc_RNA from 1 species